CAUUUAGGGAGAUGAGCCGUGCAGUCACGUCUAAGUCUUUUGUUUGACAAGUCAUUUCUGUCACAAUAAAUGGAGCGAUUGUGUCUCGUUAACAACCGUGUUUCACGUAUCUCUUUAACAGCCGUGUUUCAGCCGUGUUUCAAGUUCGCCUGCAUUAGAAGAGAUCAACGCUCGAGUUAAAGUUACUGCCAGUUCCGAGUCUUUCUGUGCCCAUGGGAAAUAAAAGCCUAGUACGGUGUGUAGGUGUCAUUAAAUCUUUGACAAGUGUACAGAUCAAUUACUUACGUGAAAGGAAGACGAAAAAGUCAACAAUGACUUGCUUGGAAACUGCCAAUGAUGUCAUGCUGGUAAUUGUGAAGUAGACUGCUUUACACAGAAAACUUUAUCUUCCCUUUG